GACGAACGCGGCGGCGUGCCCAAUACAUGCAAGUAGAACGCUGAGGAGGAGCUUGCUCUUCUGGAUGGGUUGCGAACGGGUGAGUAACGCGUAGGUAACCUGCCUGGUAGCGGGGGAUAACUAUUGGAAACGAUAGCUAAUACCGCAUAAGAGUAGAUGUUGCAUGACAUUUACUUAAAAGGUGCAAUUGCAUCACUACCAGAUGGACCUGCGUUGUAUUAGCUAGUUGGUGGGGUAACGGCUCACCAAGGCGACGAUACAUAGCCGACCUGAGAGGGUGAUCGGCCACACUGGGACUGAGACACGGCCCAGACUCCUACGGGAGGCAGCAGUAGGGAAUCUUCGGCAACGGACGGAAGUCUGACCGAGCAACGCCGCGUGAGUGAAGAAGGUUUUCGGAUCGUAAAGCUCUGUUGUAAGAGAAGAACGAGUGUGAGAGUGGAAAGUUCACACUGUGACGGUAUCUUACCAGAAAGGGACGGCUAACUACGUGCCAGCAGCCGCGGUAAUACGUAGGUCCCGAGCGUUGUCCGGAUUUAUUGGGCGUAAAGCGAGCGCAGGCGGUUAGAUAAGUCUGAAGUUAAAGGCUGUGGCUUAACCAUAGUACGCUUUGGAAACUGUUUAACUUGAGUGCAAGAGGGGAGAGUGGAAUUCCAUGUGUAGCGGUGAAAUGCGUAGAUAUAUGGAGGAACACCGGUGGCGAAAGCGGCUCUCUGGCUUGUAACUGACGCUGAGGCUCGAAAGCGUGGGGAGCAAACAGG
rnacentral:rRNA from 1 species